rnacentral:lncRNA from 1 species
UGCAAAGAAGGAGAAGAAGAAAAUAGGAGAGAAAGAGAAGGAGGAAGAGAAGAGAAGAAAGGAAAAGAAGAGAAGGAGAAGAAGAUCAAGAUGAUGAAGCUCACCUUCAUCCUCUUCUUCCUCAUACUUGGAGCAAACUAGAGGUAAGCCCUUUACCUUCUCUCAUGUAGGGUUAGGGUGUAAGAUAUCAAAAUUCGACGAUAUCGGCUAACUUUGGCACAAUGGACCAAAGUGAGCAAUCGAAAGUUUGGGACAAGUCCCAUUUGGUAUUUCAACAUGUUUGGAAGAGUAAAAAUGAGUUCCAAAAGUGUUGGAAUAGUUUUAGCGUUGUUGGACGCGAAAAGAAAUCGAAACAGAUCGAGAAACAGCUUUCUGGAGCUGGUGUACCGGUACACGCAUGAUGGCUGUACCGGUACAGCCAUCGCUGCCAGGCUGCGCAGCCCUCGGGUUUGCUCUCGGGUUUGGCCGUUACGCAGGGCGCGUACCGGUACGCAAACCNNNN